rnacentral:rRNA from 1 species
GACGUAGGGCGCGAGCGUUGUCCGGAUUUAUUGGGCGUAAAGAGCUCGUAGGCGGCUUGUCGCGUCGUCCGUGAAAACCUGGGGCUCAACGCCAGGCUUGCGGUCGAUACGGGCAGGCUAGAGUUCGGUAGGGGAGACUGGAAUUCCUGGUGUAGCGGUGAAAUGCGCAGAUAUCAGGAGGAACACCGGUGGCGAAGGCGGGUCUCUGGGCCGAUACUGACGCUGAGGCGCGAAAGCUAGGGGAGCGAACGGG